GUUAUACUGUCACAGGAUGUGCAGUGCAGAUGAUUGACGAUUAAAUUUGUAUACGAAUUUAUUCCAUUAUAAGCCUGGUGGUGUAACAGUGAAUGAUGAUUGUAUUAUUCUGCCUCUUGGUUAUCACAGGAAAUACACGAGUUAUCAAUCAGAAAGAACUUGAAUAUUUCAGGCAAGAACUCCAGGCACGACUUACUAACUACAGUGUGUUACUGAAAUCUAAACAGCUGCCACUAUCGCUUCUGCAGGAUCAUCAGAAGCAAGCUCGUGCACAUCUUCUUGACACUGAGCCUUUUGAGCAUGCCUUUGGACCAAAGGGCAAGCGUAAAUGACCAAAACUAUCCAGUCUCGAUUAUGAAUCUCUAAUAAAGAAAGCUGAUGAUUCUCAAGAUGCGUUUGAGGAAAAACAUGCUUCAUCAAAGUUGCCAAAGGAUGAAGAGGAAGAUUGCUUAAGGGAUCUAGUCAGGCAUAAUAUGUUUGAGAAAGGACAAAGCAAAAGAAUUUGGGGUGAAGUUUAUAAAGUUCUUGACU